UGUAGAAAUUGGUGGAAAUGGAGAAAUCAUAACGCAAUCUGCUCAGUACGAAAUAUUAAGUGGAAAUUUAGAACAGAUUGUCGAAACUCAAUCAGGAGGAGAUCAGCGAUUAAAAGACUUAUUAAAAGAGAUGAAUAUAGAAGCCGCUUACGACAAGUUUUAUGCUUCUGGAAUCACAUUUGACCGGCUGAAGUACAUAAACUGUGACGACUUGGCGUUGGUAUUUCUAGGGAACGAAAAUAUCGGUUAUAGAGCAGAA